GANNCUGGCUAGGAUGACGCUGGCGGCGUGCCUAACACAUGCAAGUCGAGCGAUCUUCUUCGGAAGAGAGCGGCGGACGGGUGAGUAACGCGUGGGUAACCUGCCCUGUACACACGGAUAACAUACCGAAAGGUAUGCUAAUACGGGAUAACAUACUUUUAUCGCAUGGUAGAAGUAUCAAAGCUCCGGCGGUACAGGAUGGACCCGCGUCUGAUUAGCUAGUUGGUAAGGUAACGGCUUACCAAGGCGACGAUCAGUAGCCGACCUGAGAGGGUGAUCGGCCACAUUGGAACUGAGACACGGUCCAAACUCCUACGGGAGGCAGCAGUGGGGAAUAUUGCACAAUGGGCGAAAGCCUGAUGCAGCAACGCCGCGUGAGCGAUGAAGGCCUUCGGGUCGUAAAGCUCUGUCCUCAAGGAAGAUAAUGACGGUACUUGAGGAGGAAGCCCCGGCUAACUACGUGCCAGCAGCCGCGGUAAUACGUAGGGGGGCUAGCGUUAUCCGGAAUUACUGGGCGUAAAGGGUGCGUAGGUGGUUUCUUAAGUCAGAAGUGAAAGGCUACGGCUCAACCGUAGUAAGCUUUUUGAACUAAGAGACUUGAGUGCAGGAGAGGAGAGUAGAAUUCCUAGUGUAGCGGUGAAAUGCGUAGAUAUUAUGAGGAAUACCAGUUGCGAAAGCGGCUCUCUGGACUGUAACUGACACUGAGGCACGAAAGCGUGGGGAGCAAACAGGAUUAGAUACCCUGGGUAGUCCACGCCGUAACGAUGAGUACUAGCUGUCGGGGGGUACCCCCCUCCGUGGCGCAGCUAACGCAUUAAGUACUCCCGCCUGGGAAGUACGCUCGCAGAGUGAACUCAAAGGAUUGACGGGACCCGCACAGUAGCGGAGCAUGUGNUUAAUUCGAGCAACGCGAGACCUACCUAGCUGACAUCNUUGACCUCUCCCUCA
rnacentral:rRNA from 1 species